UGCUGGGAUAGCUCAGUCGGUAGAGCAUGAAACUCUCAGUCCUGGGGUUGUGGGUUCGAGUUCCACGAUGGGUAA